UACGUAGGGCGCAAGCGUUGUCCGGAAUUAUUGGGCGUAAAGAGCUCGUAGGCGGCUUGUCACGUCGGAUGUGAAAUCCCGGGGCUUAACUCCGGGUCUGCAUUCGAUACGGGCUGGCUAGAGUGUGGUAGGGGAGAUCGGAAUUCCUGGUGUAGCGGUGAAAUGCGCAGAUAUCAGGAGGAACACCGGUGGCGAAGGCGGAUCUCUGGGCCAUUACUGACGCUGAGGAGCGAAAGCGUGGGGAGCGAACAGG
rnacentral:rRNA from 1 species